rnacentral:rRNA from 1 species
ACUGCUCAGUAACACGUAGUCAACCUGCCCUGGGGACGAGAAUAAUCUCGGGAAACUGAGGCUAAUGAGCGAUAGGUCAAGAUUCCUGGAAUGGGUUUUGGUCUAAACGGCGUGACAGCAUCUUGUCAUGUCCGCCCGAGGAUGGGACUGCGGCCGAUCAGGCUGUUGGUGGGGUAAUGGCCCACCAAACCAGUAACCGGUACGGGCUUUGAGAGAAGGAGCCCGGAGAUGGACACUGAGACAAGGGUCCAGGUCCUACGGGGCGCAGCAGGCGCGAAACCUUCGCAAUGCGCGCAAGCGCGACGAGGUUAUUCCGAGUGAUUUCCGCUGAGGAAAUCUUUUCUUAGAUCUAAAAAGUCUGGGGAAUAAGGGGAGGGCAAGUCUGGUGUCAGCCGCCGCGGUAAUACCAGCUCCUCGAGUGGUCAGGGCGUUUAUUGGGCCUAAAGCAUCCGUAGCCUGCUUGGUAGGUCUCCUGUUAAAUCCAACGACUCAAUCGUUGGUCUGCAGGAGAUACCGCUAGGCUAGGAGGCGGGAGAGGCGGACGGUACUCCGAGGGUAGGGGUAAAAUCCUUUGAUCCCCGGAAGACCACCAGUGGCGAAGGCGGUCCGCCAGAACGCGCUUGACGGUGAGGGAUGAAAGCUGGGGGAGCGAACCGGAUUAGAUACCCGGGUAGUCCCAGCUGUAAACGAUGCGAGCUAGGUGACACGACGCCUUCGGGGCAUCGUGGUGCCGCAGGGAAGCCGUUAAGCUCGCCGCCUGGGGAGUACGGUCGCAAGACUGAAACUUAAAGGAAUUGGCGGGGGAGCAC